AUUGAACGCUGGCGGCAGGCCUAACACAUGCAAGUCGAGCGAGCGGCGGACGGGUGAGUAAUGUAUGGGGACUGCCCGAUAGAGGGGGAUAACUACUGGAAACGGUAGCUAAUACCGCAUACUAUCGGAUAACCCAUAUGGGAUUAGCUAGUAGGUGAGGUAAUGGCUCACCUAGGCGACGAUCCCUAGCUGGUCUGGUGGGAUGAUCAUCCACACUGGUAUCGAGACAUGGCCCAGACUCCUACGGAGGCAGCAGUGGGGAAUAUUGCACAAUGGGCGCAAGCCUGAUGCAGCCAUGCCGCGUGUAUGAAGAAGGCUCCAGGGUUGUCAAGUACUUUCAGUCGGGAGGCGUUACCGACAGAAGAAGCACCGGCUAACUCCGUGCCAGCAGCCGCGGUAAUAC
rnacentral:rRNA from 1 species